UGAGGAAUAUUGGUCAAUGGGCGAGAGCCUGAACCAGCCAAGUCGCGUUGAAGGAAGACUGCCUUAUGGGUUGUAAACUUCUUUUAUACAGGAAUAAAAGGCUUACGUGUAGGCCAUUGCAAGUACUGUAUGAAUAAGCAUCGGCUAACUCCGUGCCAGCAGCCGCGGUAAUACGGAGGAUAGCGAGCGUUAUCCGGAUUUAUUGGGUUUAAAGGGUGCGCAGGCGGGCUUUUAAGUCAGCGGUGAAAUCUGGACGCUUAACGUCCAAACUGCCGUUGAAACUGGGAGUCUUGAGUAUGGAUGAAGUAGGCGGAAUUCGUUGUGUAGCGGUGACAUGCAUAGAUAUAACGAGGAACUCCGAUUGCGUAGGCAGCUUACUAAGCCAUAAACUGACGCUCAUGCACGAAAGCGUGGGGGAUCAAAACAGGAUUAAGAUACCCUGGUAGUCCACGCCGUAAAACGAUGAUUACUAGUUGUAUGCGAUAUGAAUAGUAUGUGACUAAGCGAAAAGCGAAUAAAGUAAUCCACCUGGGGGAGUACGCCGGCAACGGUGAAACUUAAAGGAAUUGACGGGGUCAUAGCUGUUUCCU
rnacentral:rRNA from 1 species